UUCUGCCCAUGACAGAAGGGCCCACACUGGAGUAGUUAGGGAAGGGCUGCAACCCAGCAGAACCAUCCAAGCUGGCAAGAGGAACAGAAGGGGAGUGAGAGCAGCUUGGUGGGUUCUUGCAGCUAGCCAAAGUUAACCCACCACAGAAAAUAUACCUGAGUAGAUGAGCUUUUCUUCAUCAGUGAGAACAUGCAUUUUAAAACAUCAAGAAAUUGGUUACUUUGCCAAAAGGGAGGCCUAAUGCAAUGACUUCUGAUCCAGUAGCACCACUUGGAAUUUGACGAAUAUGAAGAACACGUGAAGGGAAA